rnacentral:rRNA from 1 species
AUUGAACGCUGGCGGCAGGCCUAACACAUGCAAGUCGAGCGGAGCGGCGGACGGGUGAGUAAUGCCUAGGUAUCUGCCUGGUAGUGGGGGAUAACGUCCGGAAACGGGCGCUAAUACCGCAUACUAUCAGAUGAGCCUAGGUGGGAUUAGCUAGUUGGUGGGGUAAAGGCCUACCAAGGCGACGAUCCGUAACUGGCCUGAGAGGAUGAUCAGUCACACUGGAACUGAGACACGGUCCAGACUCCUACGGGAGGCAGCAGUGGGGAAUAUUGGACAAUGGGCGAAAGCCUGAUCCAGCCAUGCCGCGUGUGUGAAGAAGGUCUUCGGGUUGUAAAGCACUUUAAGUUGGGAGGCGUUACCCGCAGAAGAAGCACCGGCUAACUCCGUGCCAGCCGCCGCGGUAAUUC